GACGAACGCUGGCGGCGUGCUUAACACAUGCAAGUCGAACGGUGAAGGGGUCUGCUUUUGUGGGCCCUGGGUGAGUGGCGAACGGGUGAGUAACACGUGAGUAACCUGCCCCCUUCUUCUGGAUAACCGCAUGAAAGUGUGGCUAAUACGGGAUAUUCUGGGUCUGUCGCAUGAUGGGUCUGGGAAAGAUUGCGCCUUUGGGUGUUUUUGGUGGGGGAUGGGCUCGCGGCCUAUCAGCUUGUUGGUGGGGUGAUGGCCUACCAAGGCGGUGACGGGUAGCCGGCCUGAGAGGGUGGACGGUCACACUGGGACUGAGACACGGCCCAGACUCCUACGGGAGGCAGCAGUGGGGAAUAUUGCACAAUGGGCGCAAGCCUGAUGCAGCGACGCCGCGUGAGGGAUGGAGGCCUUCGGGUUGUAAACCUCUUUCGCCAGUGAAGCAGGCCUGCUCCUUGUGGGUGGGUUGACGGUAGCUGGAGAAGAAGCGCCGGCUAACUACGUG
rnacentral:rRNA from 1 species